rnacentral:rRNA from 1 species
UGGGGAAUAUUGCACAAUGGGCGCAAGCCUGAUGCAGCCAUGCCGCGUGUAUGAAGAAGGCCUUCGGGUUGUAAAGUACUUUCAGCGGGGAGGAAGGGAGUAAAGUUAAUACCUUUGCUCAUUGACGUUACCCGCAGAAGAAGCACCGGCUAACUCCGUGCCAGCAGCCGCGGUAAUACGGAGGGUGCAAGCGUUAAUCGGAAUUACUGGGCGUAAAGCGCACGCAGGCGGUUUGUUAAGUCAGAUGUGAAAUCCCCGGGCUCAACCGGGGAACUGCAUCUGAUACUGGCAAGCUUGAGUCUCGUAGAGGGGGGGAGAAUUCCAGGUGUAGCGGUGAAAUGCGUAGAGAUCUGGAGGAAUACCGGUGGCGAAGGCGGCCCCCUGGACGAAGACUGACGCUCAGGUGCGAAAGCGUAGGGAGCAAACAGG